GCAAGCUUGAACUUCGGGCAAGAAUAGGGCCGGAUGGGCUGAAGUAAAAUGAAGAUUGAGAAGACAAGGGUCAGAAGCUCUGCAGGGACUGCACAUCCCGCAUUGUUACGAAUCAUCCCAGAGGUUGGAUUCCAGUCAAGCACACAAGGAAGAAGAGAGGCUUCUCGAAAUGAAGUAAACUGCUCUCUUCAGUCUUGUCUAGUGUUGUGUGUCUGCAAUGGUUCAUACAGGGGGUUUUAGUGAAGUGAGAACAGGCAACAGCUAUGGAGCGAUCAGUUCAAUAAAUGGAUCUCUUUCUCGAGAAAUUAAAGCUGUGAAACACAUGACACCAAGCUGUAAGAAUUUCUAAACUGUAUUUCAAUUGAGUAUUCUUUUCAUCUGUAUGAAGUAAGAUUUCAAAACAAACCCAAAUUGUAAUGUUCGUUUUGAUUGUAAGCAUUCUGUGGCUCAAACCAUCUCACCCAGUGCACACGUGGUGUAUAUGCCUAAUGGGCUCCCACGCUUAGGCACAUUAUGCCAUCCUACCUACUCCUGGAGCAAAGAAAUUUAAAUAUUACAAAACUAAGUACAGUCAGUCUACUUGGCAUGCGUUUGUUUUUUUUUUAAAGACAAAUAAGAAUAUAUAGUGUAAAUUGUAAUACAGUGCAAGACAAUCGUAUGUUUUAUGAUUGCCUCUGGAUGAGGUCCCAUCUCAACGCUUCAUUCACUCAUUCAGACAUAAAAACUAACUUGCUUCCAUUCACUCUUUCCCUGGCUGCUGCUAGCAAACAGAUCUGCUGUCAGCGUCCUAUGAGAGGAUCUGCCACAACCCGGGGCCCUGCUGCUCCUGGCCAGGGACAUGGCUGCUGCUGCAAACCCAGUGCCUGGAGCUGCACAGGAAGCUGACAGAGUAGGGGAAGAGGCAGGGAAAUCUGUGACUGACUUGAUUGCACAGAUACAGGUGACCUUGUGAUACGCUGAAUCUGAAUGGGAAGAAUGAGAAAACAAGGAGUAGUUGAAUUGCUGGGUACUCUGCAAAACAAGCUGAGUUUGAUCCAUAGCACUGAGAUGAACUGUUCAAGUAAGUACUCCAGACUGAAGACAGAAGCAGCACAUCCCAGCAACUGCAAUUGCUGGUGGACUUCCCUCAAAUGGUUACCAUUUCUGUGGCACAAAGAUGCACAAAUAUAUCUAUUGGGAUAAUACUACCCUACAUUCUCAGAGGGAAAGAAGAGCAAGAAUACAGUUGGUACACGAUGUCACUUCCCAUGACACUACAUUGAUUAUUAUUGUGACAUCUGUUUAUACAGCUGAUGAUGAAUUUCUAGUGUACGUUGAUUACAGCAAUUGCAGCUGGACUACUUCCUUUCCCCUAGCACUUAACUGCACUCUUGGUUAUUGAGUGGUAUAUGAAUGCUUAUGAAACAAGUACAGGAAGAUCAAACAAAAGUGAUUCUUUCCUCUUAGACCUCCACCGCUACAUUACAUGUAACCUGCCAACACAAGACCAGUUAGUCUCUGACCUGCAGCAGCUGAAAGUAGCUGGAUUCCAGAUGGCUCUAAAAAGCUGCUUUUGUACAGCUCUCAUAUUAUUUGUAACAACCUGACAUGAAACAUCAGAGCAAGCUCCCAUGACAGAUGACAUCGCCAAACACAGGAAAUUUCCACUCAUCCAGUAUGAUGUGGUCCCACCACACAGCGUACGGUCCCGUUUGAGUUCUAUCCCAUCUAGUGCUACUGGAAUAUCAUCACCUCAAUCUACGUUCUCUACAUCAAAGUGCAUUCAUAGAGCUUUCAUGACACUGGCAUCUCAAGAUAAAAUGCCAUUAUAUUACACCCUAUCACACCUCAUAUCCUGGAUCUUUACUUUCCAAACCAAUUAUUUCAGAAAGAAGAAAGGAUUUGGGUCAUUGUUCUGAGGUUUACUAUGUGUGGACAACAUAUUAUGCUUGAUUCACUUGGCUAACCAACAGAGUAAGCACAGCCAAUGAGGUACGUGCCUCCUUCAAAAUGUUUUUCUUUACAGACUUGGCAGGUUGGUGAUGUUCUAUAUAAGGCUCAGAACGGACUGCAAAGUUUCCUCCAUUAUACUGCAAAACAAUUCAAAGAACAAUUCCAAGCUAAAAACAUUAGUUAUUCUCCCUGAAAUCCUACUGUCAAAUCUAAAUUAAGCACAGGAGUUUGACUGCCACUGAAUUUAGCUUUGGCUAAUACAGGCAGCAGUGUGUGCAGUGAAGGAUAUAUAAGAACUAUUUCAAAGAAGUUUAAUGAGAAAAAAUCUUGAAAAGUCUACACUAUUUCAAUAUCAUUACCGUCUGGGGGAAAUAAUUUGUAAAAGCUUUUAAGAAACUAACUCAUGUUCCAAAAUUAUUUUGUUUUAGAAAACACAUGCUCUAUUUCUCAUAUAUAACAAAACAAAAAUUUUGCUUCAUGUAUGCUGCAAGCCUCAGCUUUAAGUUACAUCAUGUGACUCAUGUGCCAGUGACAUGUGAGGUGCUCUAAAAAGAGUAUUUCUUUUUUAUUGCAUAAUUAUUAGCAAUAUUAAAAACUUCUGCAUUCCAAAGUAGAACAGAGUAAUAAAAAAUAAUGAGCAUUUCUGAAGUAUUUCAAUGAUUCAAGGACAAGAAAAUCACAAUGAUGUCAACCCCAGGCUUCAUAAGCACCACAGCAGGAGAACAACUAAAAAAUGUAAGUCUGUUCAAAACAGAUUGAAGUAGCACGUUGAUUUCUUUUUUCAAUCCUAAAUAGUUGCCCUGUGUGCUGCAGAAGAUACAGACUUAUUUAGUCAUUAAAACUGCAUUUCAUAAGCACUGCCUGCAGCAGCAUCCAUCUAAAUCAAGCUCUCCUGCCCCCAAUAUUACAAUGCUAUGUCCAUCAUAGAUGAUUUAACAAAAGUUAAACUACCUACAAAUACCAUCCUAACAGUAUCAACUACUACAAAACACCACUAGUUUACACUUAACGCGGUGGGAGGCAGUGAAAUGAAGAAAGAGUUAUAACCAUCUCCUUUCACAGAGAGUUCAUUUCACGAGGAAAAUUUUCAGAAAGGAGGACAAUUACUUUAAUGCCUUUCUUUUUUUUUUUUGGUACUCAAAAAAGAAGAUGCCAGAAUUAUAACAUUGCUUUAUUGCACAAGGCUUCCACUUAAGAAAAUGCAGUCUAAGUGAAAAUAUACAUCUAUACAUUAGGCUCCUAUUCCUGAGAGCUAGUACAGAUGAAAAUGUCAACCUCCCUUACUAGCUAGAACUUCCCAUUGUAAGAAUUAAUCUUAAGUUAGUAAUGUUCUGCAGGGCUGAAAUCAUCUUGUUUUAAUUUUCAAGGAUAAGUCUUAAAGCAAGGCUAUAAAAAGACAAUUACGUGUGUACAGAAUGGCUCUCAAGGAGAAAUUACUCGAUUUUUCCUCUUCAUUCUGAAGCUUGUAAUCUAAGCUCUUGCUACACCCUACUAAAGUUCUGUCAUGAACACCAAAUUAUUCUUUUCUUUCUGAAACCUACAUUAAGUGCUUCAUAGUUGCUUUGCCUUCAGAAUGCCUCUGUACCGAGAAGGGGAUUAACUCAGUUUACAGAUAGGGAAUGGAGCCACAGACAGAUUAAGCUAGAGUUUUGGGUGCCUGCUCUGAGCCACUCAAGACGUGACUGUUCAAUUUAAUAUGGCACAUUCAAACAUUUGACUUGUAAAAAGAACAGCCUCUACUGAAUGUACUUGUAGAUGUGAGCACCUUACUUCUAAUCCCACAAAUCUAGUAUCCAGAAAAUGAGAUGUACUAUCAAUGAUCAUCUAUGAAAAAUCUGCUUGUAAUAAUUUAGCAAUACUUAAGUAUGCUUCUGCACAGUUAUGCAACCAAAGGCAUAUCUGAUUCUCCAGGGAAGAAUUCAGCUGUUUUGAUUACGUAUUAUUAACUUCAGAAAACCAGCUUUUACAAACAAUGAGGUGGCUUUGGCAUUGGCUUGAUUUGUUUUGAUUUCUGAGUGGACAUAAUUACUUGAAUCAGUACUAAAUACGCAUGUAGGUUCUUGAGAGUAUGGAUUUUUUUUUCAGCUUCUGUAUAUAUAGUAAGAUAUAUAAUAUAAUAUAUGUUGUAUAUAAAAAUAAAAUUACUAUAAUAUAUAGUAAUAACUUGAGACUACUACUACUUCCUACUACUGAUCUUCAACACAAAAUUUUCCUUCAGGUUGGCUUAUCAGACCAAAGUAAAUGCAGAAGUGGAAUUUAGUCACUUUUGAGCACUCCAAACACACGUCAGACCAAUAGAGCAGAUUAUCAAGCUCAUAACAGCGAUUCAAAGUAGUUUUAUGUAUUUGUCUUUAGCCCAAAACCCAAACAUGACAGAUGAGUACGGGUUCUUACAUGCAAGUAAAAAAACAUUGAUCUCAUUUUAUACAUGACAUAUUUGACACUAUCACUUCAAAUUGCAUUUGGUCUCACUGCUGACUUGAUGUUCAAAUCAUCUGACAUUUCUGAUUAAUACUGUGUCUGCCACUGACUCAAUGAUCUUUGAAGUAGGCAUUUUUUCACUCCAUACUUUAGUUACCUAUCUGUAGAAUAAUUUGUUUUGUACCAAACAAGUUUCUAGAGAAAUGUUUGUUUGCAGUGUGAUUUAAGAUAUUUUUUAUUGGAGUUUUAAGUUUUCAGAAUGUUUAAAGUCUUGCUUAACAAGGUCAGGACACAUACAGCCUUUCUGUCCAAAUGAGCUGUAUAUAUUAUUAUUGUAAAAUUUCACUCAAGGAACAAAAGUUAGGCCACAGUGUCCUGCAACUUGCAUUACCUUGCGGUGCUUCUCAGUAGAUGAUGCAAAGAUAAUCUGUUAUGGCCAAACAGGGAUCUGAAUGCUCACUUGAAAAGAAUGUGGUCUUCAAGGGCUAAGAGUAUCUCCAGGCAUCUGCAUGGAUACAUAUGUUUGUUUACCGAGAUUCAAGACAACUCAAAUGACUGAUAAAACAUUUAGCAUUUAGAACCUCUAGUGUCAACACUUUGCUAGAAAUUCUGUGUUAUUCUUGGCAAAAAGAAACCACCAUAGAAAUCAGAAAGAAAAUAGUCAGGACACCUUUAUAUGUCAGAACCGGAUUUUUCUCGCAGAAUUGUUACCCUUGUAAAUUUGUCUGCACCUAGUUUAAUCAACAAAACUUGCAGCUGUUAAUAGGUUGCACUUCCAUGUUCUACCUCAUAUAAGGACUUUUUAAUCAGGAUGGAAGCUGGUUCAGAGUCCUGUUGCUUUAAUUGGCCUUGAUAUAAGGAAAAGCAUAACUGUUCAAGUUAACCACCCAAAAAAGUACAAUCAAGCAGAAGUUACAGGAAAGCUGCUUUCCUUUGACUUCAGAAUGUAAGCUCAAGGGCAAAGGUUCCACUGUGUUGUUCGCAACCACAGCAUAGACAACAGAUGCAGUUUAGGCAUCUUAAUCUCAACUGCAAUAUUCUUCUCCUCACUUACAGACAACUAAUUGAGCUGGUGCUGGGUGGAGCACAUUAAAGAUACUUUCAGCACAACUUGAGGUAAUUGUUGUGACCAUACUGGAAUACACUACAUGCUACAAAACAUUUUUAAAAGGACAUUAUAUCAACAAGUUCACUUUAAAUUAUUUUGGAAACUUCAUUUGCUGUUAUUCACAUUUCUCAUUUCCUGCAACCUCUCCCCUUCCCUCUUUCAGAACAGGGAGAGGAACAAACUUGCCCGGAAGAAUUACCUAACUUUUCAGAAGAUACUUUUGUUGGAGGCUUGCUUCAUUUGUCCUGUUUCAUUCAGUUGUUUAGGUUAAUUAGAUGCAGGGAGGGGAUGUGGGGGUUUUUGAGUUUUUGUUUGUUUUCUACACUGUAUUUGUUAUUUCACAUCAACUAGAACAAUGAACAAGCUCCACAAAAAGACAUACUAGAGGGCAUUCCCUGACUGGUAAGAGCUUUGACAUUUUUAACAGGAAUUUAAAAGGUUUCCAAUUAACAGCAGCAUCGCCGAGCUCUGCCAGCACUGACAACAUUGCUGAAAACUGAUCUCGUCUGUGACACCAUCCAUCUCUGAGGAAUACCCGAAAGGUUGUAAACACAGGACAUUAUUAGCAAGAAGAAGUUUCAUCAUUAUGGAAGAAUUUGUAUUAAAUAUUUCGCUUUCUUAAACUAAUAAUGUGUAUUUCAGUAGUAUUUAGGAGCAAAAGAAAAACUGUACUCUUAAUCAGUGCCUAGCAAAGUAAAAACUGUGAAGCUGCCGGCUACCUAACCCAACACUGAAAUAAAAUAGACAGAAAAGGUGAAGGCUGGGAUUGGGGCAAGACAUGGAGCAACACAUCUACAUUCUCAGAUCAUCUGCUAUGACCAUCCUGUGGUCAGCAGAGCACGGCAGAGCUACACAUACCAACUCCUAGCCAAUGGCCACUGAAUGUGCAUUCUCAGCAGUUAUGAGCAUUCAAGUACUACUGGCUGGCCAACAAAAUCAACUUUUUAAAAACCCUUAAGGAGCUUAUUUACAGUCUCCACUUUAAAGGUGGACGAAAGGGAUAUGAAGUAUCGAGAGUCCUGCAGCGUAUUCUUGUAGUUCAUUUUUACUGCUUUUCUGAUACUCUCUUCAGCUUCCUCCCCCAGCUUCUCCACAAAGCGUAUGUAGACAACUCCCCAUCACAGACCUCAGACAGAGCUAUUGCAAUUCCUCGUAAGCAUUUAUAGCUAGACUUUAUGCUUUCUCAAUCUAACGUCAUUCCCAGUUUUCCUGAAGUCACUUGUCAGUUCCUUGUGGAAUUCCUGUCUAAGAAGCAUUCCUUUAAUAAACUCUAUCUAACCAAGAGA